rnacentral:lncRNA from 1 species
UAAAAUUUAAGUGCAUCCUUUCUUUUUCUUUUUAAAGAUUUUGUAACGCUUUAUUAUCGUUAUAUAUAUACUUACUUAAACUAUUCAGCUAUGACGGUACUAUUAACAAAGUAUACUGUUUGUCCACAAUCUAUGUACAACUUUAUUCAGCUUCGAAGAUACUAGUAACAUAGUAUACAUAGUGUCCACUAGCUAUUUAUAACUUUAUUUAGCUUUGACGGUACAAAUAAUAAUAUAUACUGAAUGUCCACUGUCUAUUUAUAACUUUAUUUCAGCUUCACGGUCAGCUAUGACCGUCACGGUACUAGUAACAUUUUAUAACUUUAUUUAGCUUUGAUGGUUCUAAUAGCAAUGCAUACUAAAUGUCCACUGUCGUUCAGUUUCACGGAAAGCUAUGACAGUACCAGGAACAAAGUGUUCUGGUUGUCCACUAUCUAUUUCGAUAACUUCUUUUUCAGCUUUACGGUCAGCUGUGACGAUACUUGUAACAAAGGAUACACGGUAUCAGCUAUCUGUCUAAGAGUAUAACUUCUUUUUCAGCUUUACGGUCAGCUGUGACGGUACUUGUAACAAAGGAACAGUGUGGACGAUCAAUUGAUCUUACUUUGGAGAGAAAAGUCUAUCUGAACUAUGAAGGGGCAGAGCUUUGGGACAAUUCCUCGACUUGUGUGAUAGAUAUAACAACUAGAAAUGACAAUGAGAAAAUUUGCAUAAGAAAAAACAAUACGCCACUAAAUUUCAUUGAUUUGAUGUGCUCGUGGACGCAUAGUUAUUACGGCGGAGGUUACGAAUGAUACUCAUAUGGCGCAAAGAGUUGUUCGGAUUUCAACUUACGGGCGUUUUGUGACAGUGAUAGAAAGUCGUGACAACUACCUUUACGAUACUCGUAAUGUCACUGUUAGUGUUGUGGUUAUUUAAAAAGAAAUAUAUAGACUACUACCCGGCGUAGUUAUACACGAGCACCCUGGUCUUCGUGGACAUCCUGGUCGUCGGACUAUGGCAAAUACGACGUCCAAGAAGCAAAGUCUAAAACAAAAGACAUUGUUAUUUUCUUAUUAGUUAUACCGGCAAGCGUGUUGUUUGGUUGUGUUUGUUAUAUGCUGCGUGAGCGCAUGUGUCCAACACGAGAAUAUAGUGCACCGCCAGUAGUACAAUACAACCAACAUGCAAAUCAGACACAAACUGUUGCAAGCGAUUUCCAACCACAGCAACUAUCAGAUAUUGCAGGGAACCAUGUACAUAAUUCCACGUUUAAACAAGUAUCAAAUCAAGACUCUCAUGUCGAAUAUCAUUCAAAUUUGCCGCCUCCUACGUAUGACUCCAUUCCUUCAGCCCCUCCACCGCCGUAUCCUGGAUACUGACCGUAUACAGACUAAAGAAAUGGUAAUUUAUACAGAACAAGGAAUUUUUACAAUGACACCGUCAUGGUUACACGCUAUGGAGACAAAACAAGGAAUUGCUGCAUCUCCAUCGUCAUUUUUACACGCUAUGGAGACAAAGAUAGACAAAACAAGGAAUUUCUACAAUUUGUCAUGUUUACACACUUAAAAGACAUAGACCAAGCAAGGAAUUUCUAUAUCUUCAUCGUCAUGGUUAAACGCUUUGCAGCCAUAGACCAGACAAGGAAUUUCUAUCUCUUCAUCGUCAUAUUUACACGCUUUGCAGCCAUAGAUAAAACAAGAAAUUCCUAUAUCUUCAUCGUCAUAUUUACACGAUUUGCAAACAUAGACCAAACAAGGAAUGUCUAUAUCUUCAUCGUCAUGUUCGCACGCUAUGCAGCCGUAGACCAAACAAGGAAUUUCAAUAUUUUCAUCGUCAUGGUUACACGCUAUGGAGACUCAAUAAGAUAAAACAAGGAAUUUUACAAUGCCAUCGCCAUUCUUACAUCAAACUUUUAAUACUGCAUUUGAUAGUUUUUCUAAUUAGGUGUGUUUAUCAUAUUAAUAUACGUAUUUAUCUUAUUGACAAACACUGCCUUUCUACAUUUUAAUAUUUAUCUUAUUAAUGAAUAAUUGCCGUUUUACAAAGGUGUGUCUAUGUUAUUGAUAAAUAUUGCCUUUCUGUUAAACUAAAAAGGUGUAUUUAUUUUAAUAUUAAAAGCUGCCUAUCUACAUAGGUGAGUUCAUUGUAUUGAUUAAUACUGCCUUUCUGUAUUAUUAUUUUUUUAUGUUUAUUUUAUUAAGAGAUACUGCAUUUCUGCAUAUUUGCGUUUAUGUUAUCAUUAAACACUGCCUGUUAUGGUGGCAUAUUUCUGCUAAUCACAUAUCCACUUAUUUAUGUAGACACUUUUCUCUAAAAACGUCACAUAUCCAGUUAUUAUUUGGCAAGUUGCAAAACUGCGUGUUAUCCAGAUAAUUAUGUUAACAGGACAAAACUGCCUGUUAGUGCCCACUUCUGCCAUCCACAUUUCACAUAAAUAAGUGAUAUUCUGAAAGUUUUCUUGAUAUCCAGUUAAUAUUUGUACCAAAAUUGACAGUGACUUUUCGUCCCUUAUACGGAAUUGUCACGGUAUUGGAUGUAUAGGCGGCCGCGUAGCUCAAUCGGUACAGCAUUGGAACGGUAUUUCGAGGCCCCGGGUUCGAGUCCCUGUCCCGGUCUUGCUGCACAUUUUUCUCAUCCUGUGAUAUUUGGCACCUAACGAGGGGCCUUGACGGCAAUAUACUGGUUAGUCCCCGACGCCAGUAAUUGCUUAAUUUAUGACGUACCCGCUGAAAUUCGAGGACGAAUUUCAAAAUGUAGGGGAAAUAUGUCACUUGAAUAUUGAAACGGGAGAAAAUGUUUAAGCGGUCGUAUAGCUCAGUUCGUAGAUUAUCAGAACGGUAUUCCGAGGUCCCGAGUUUGAGUCCUGGGUUCACAUUUUUCUUCACCCUGUGACAGAAUGAAAGAGUGUAUAUCCACCUCAUCCCCCACCGCAAGCUCGAUUUGGAAUGAUAAAUCUGCAUAAUUGUUAUGCCCCUUUAUGUAUUUUCAUUUAUUCAUGGGGUAUUUGCCAAUCAUAACUGACUAACUAACAAAAAUCAAGAUACCUAGUUACCGUAAGUGAAUAUGUGGAUGGCAGUAGUGGGCACUAACAGGCAGUAUACUUAAGUGGAUAACAAGCAGUUUUGUCACUUGCCAGAUAUAACUGAGUAAGUGACAUUUUUACGAAAAAUUUCGAGAUAAGUAAGUGGAUAUGUGGUUGGCAGAAAUAUGCCACCAGUAGCCUGUAACUAAACGGGUCGCUUUGUUUUUACAAAUAUUUACAUUCACUGUGUGCUUUGUAUAAAAGAAAAAAGAAACUAUGUUUUCAAAUAAAUCACAAUGUUGCAAGAAUACCAAGGGUGGUACUUUCCUAAGAGAUCAUUCACGCAAUCUGUUGUCAUUCACAAAGUGGCGAAACGUACUUUCUGAAUUGGACACCAACAUUUCGAAAAGAACAUUAAAUUAUUGCCGAAACUAAUACUUCUGAAGAUAAAUAUCGGUAUUACAUCUACAUUGUCUGAUUUUCGCUGUAUUUAAGGAUAUUUUAAAUAAAUAUCAGGAACCGUAUU